rnacentral:rRNA from 1 species
UACGGGGGGGGGCAAGCGUUGUUCGGAAUUACUGGGCGUAAAGGGCUUGUAGGUGGCCAACUAAGUCAGACGUGAAAUCCCUCGGCUUAACCGGGGAACUGCGUCUGAUACUGGAUGGCUUGAGUGUGGGAGAGGGAUGCGGAAUUCCAGGUGUAGCGGUGAAAUGCGUAGAUAUCGGGAGGAACACCAGUGGCGAAGGCGGCUUCCUGGCCUGUUCUUGACGCUGAGGCGCGAAAGCUAGGGGAGCAAACGGG